CUUCUAACUACACAAUUGCAAGUCUCAGCAUACCCGUGAGGACGCCCCCCCCCCCAGGGCGGGGCAAAUUUUAGGGCCAAAUUCCUAACCCAAAAAUUAAGCCGUAAAUCCUAUUUACACCCCCACCACGCACAGGGAACUACGAGUCCAUGCUUAAAACCCAAAGGACUUGACGGUGCCCCAUCCAACUAGAGGAGCCUGUUCUAUAAUUGAUAAUCCCCGCUUUACCUCACCCCUACUAGCCCAUCAGCCUGUAUACCUCCGUCGCAAGCUUACCAUGUGAACGUCAGACAGUAAGCUGUCAGGUCAAGGUGCAGCCCACGUAGUGGAAAGCAAUGGGCUACAAUUUCUAUAUUAGAACACACGGAAAGCAGCACGAAACUGCUGCUAGAAGGCGGAUUUAGCAGUAAGAAGAAAGUAUAGAGUUCUUCUUAACCCGGACCUGGGUCGCGUACAAACCGCCCGUCACCCUCUUCAACGCCCUACCCCCCACCCCCAUCUAAACAAUUUCAGCACCCAAGAAGAGGUAAGUCGUAACAUGGUAAGUAUACUGGAAGGUGUACUUGGAACAA
rnacentral:rRNA from 1 species